rnacentral:rRNA from 1 species
GAUGGACGCUGGCGGCGUGCCUAAUACAUGCAAGUCGAGCGAACAGACGAGGAGCUUGCUCCUCUGACGUUAGCGGCGGACGGGUGAGUAACACGUGGAUAACCUACCUAUAAGACUGGGAUAACUUCGGGAAACCGGAGCUAAUACCGGAUAAUAUAUUGAACCGCAUGGUUCAAUAGUGAAAGACGGUUUUGCCGUCACUUAUAGAUGGAUCCGCGCCGCAUUAGCUAGUUGGUAAGGUAACGGCUUACCAAGGCAACGAUGCGUAGCCGACCUGAGAGGGUGAUCGGCCACACUGGAACUGAGACACGGUCCAGACUCCUACGGGAGGCAGCAGUAGGGAAUCUUCCGCAAUGGGCGAAAGCCUGACGGAGCAACGCCGCGUGAGUGAUGAAGGUCUUCGGAUCGUAAAACUCUGUCAUUAGGGAAGAACAAAUGUGUAAGUAACUAUGCACGUCUUGACGGUACCUAAUCAGAAAGCCACGGCUAACUACGUG